rnacentral:tRNA from 1 species
CAGGUGUUAGUUUAAAUAAAAUAUUAAUUUUGGAGAUUAGAGAUAGGAGAGUUUUACAUCUGA